rnacentral:rRNA from 1 species
UACAGAGGGUGCGAGCGUUAAUCGGAAUUACUGGGCGUAAAGGGCGCGUAGGCGGCCUGCUAAGUCGAACGUGAAAUCCCUGGGCUCAACCCAGGAACUGCGUCCGAUACUGGUUGGCUUGAAUCCGGGAGAGGGAUGUGGAAUUCCAGGUGUAGCGGUGAAAUGCGUAGAUAUCUGGAGGAACACCGGUGGCGAAGGCAGGUCUCUGGGCUGACACUGACGCUCAUGCACGAAAGCGUGGGGAGCAAACAGG